rnacentral:piRNA from 1 species
UAAAUAAAUAAUUGUCCAGGGCCAUUUGA